rnacentral:rRNA from 1 species
GACGAACGCUGGCGGCGUGCCUAAUACAUGCAAGUAGAACGCUGAAGAGAGGAGCUUGCUCUUCUUGGAUUAGUUGCGCACGGGUGAGUAACGCGUAGGUAACCUGCCUUGUUGCGGGGGAUAACUAUUUGAAACGAUAGCUAAUACCGCAUAACAAUUGAUGACACAUUUCUUUUAUUUGAAAUGGGCUAUUUCUCCACUAUAAGAUGGACCUGCGUUGUAUUAUGUAGUUGGCGAGGUAAUGGCUCACCUAGGCGAAGAUACAUAGCCGACCUGAGUGGGGGAUCGGCCAAAAUGGGACUGAGAAAAGGCCAAGAAGGCUACGGGGGGCAGCAGAAGGGAAUCUUCGGGAAUGGGGGCAAACCUGACCGAGCAAAGCCGCGUGAGUGAAGAAGGGUUUCGGAUCGUAAAGCUCUGUUGUAAGUCAAGAACGGGUGUGAGAGUGGAAAGUUCACACUGUGACGGUAGCUAACCAGAAAGGGACGGCUAACUACGUG